rnacentral:rRNA from 1 species
CUGACUGACCGAUAGUGAACCAGUACCGUGAGGGAAAGGCGAAAAGAACCCCUGUGAGGGGAGUGAAAUAGAUCCUGAAACCGCAUGCAUACAAGCAGUGGGAGCCGACUUGUUCGGUGACUGCGUACCUUUUGUAUAAUGGGUCAGCGACUUAUAUUCAGUAGCGAGGUUAACCGUAUAGGGGAGCCGUAGAGAAAUCGAGUCUUAAUAGGGCGUUUAGUUGCUGGGUAUAGACCCGAAACCAGGCGAUCUAUCCAUGAGCAGGUUGAAGGUUGGGUAACACUAACUGGAGGACCGAACCCACUGUCGUUGAAAAGCCAGGGGAUGACUUGUGGAUAGGGGUGAAAGGCUAAUCAAGCCUGGUGAUAGCUGGUUCUCCCCGAAAGCUAUUUAGGUAGCGCCUCGGACGAAUACCAUAGGGGGUAGAGCACUGUUUCGGCUAGGGGGUCAUCCCGACUUACCAAACCGAUGCAAACUCCGAAUACCUAUGAGUACUAUCCGGGAGACAGACUGCGGGUGCUAACGUCCGUAGUCAAGAGGAAAACAAUCCAGACCGCCAGCUAAGGCCCCAAAAUCAUAGUUAAGUGGGAAACGAUGUGGGAAGGCAUAGACAGCUAGGAGGUUGGCUUAGAAGCAGCCACCCUUUAAAGAAAGCGUAAUAGCUCACUAGUCGAGUCGGCCUGCGCGGAAGAUGUAACGGGGCUAAAACUAUGUGCCGAAGCUGCGGAUUUGACUUUUAAGUCAAGUGGUAGGGGAGCGUUCUGUAAGCCGAUGAAGGUGUAUUGAGAAGUAUGCUGGAGGUAUCAGAAGUGCGAAUGCUGACGUGAGUAACGAUAAAACGGGUGAAAAACCCGUUCGCCGAAAGACCAAGGGUUCCAGUCCAACGUUAAUCGGGGCUGGGUGAGUCGACCCCUAAGGCGAGGCCGAAAGGCGUAGUCGAUGGGAAAUUGGUUAAUAUUCCAAUACUUCUGUGUAAUGCGAUGAGAGGACGGAGAAGGUUAAGUCAGCCUGGCGUUGGUUGUCCAGGUGAAAGGAAGUAGGCAUGCAUCUUAGGCAAAUCCGGGGUGCUCUAUGCUGAGAUCUGAUAGCAAGCUGUACUUGUACAGCGAAGUGGCUGAUACCAUGCUUCCAGGAAAAGUCUCUAAGCUUCAGUUACACAGGAAUCGUACCCUAAACCGACACAGGUGGUCAGGUCGAGUAGACCAAGGCGCUUGAGAGAACUCUGCUGAAGGAACUAGGCAAAAUGGUACCGUAACUUCGGGAGAAGGUACGCUGUUGUUGGUGAUGGAACUUGCUUCCUGAGCUGAUGACAGCCACAGAAACCAGGCCGCUGCAACUGUUUAUUAAAAACAUAGCACUCUGCAAACACGAAAGUGGACGUAUAGGGUGUGAUGCCUGCCCGGUGCUGGAAGGUUAAUUGAUGGGGUUAGCGUAAGCGAAGCUCUUGAUCGAAGCCCCAGUAAACGGCGGCCGUAACUAUAACGGUCCUAAGGUAGCGAAAUUCCUUGUCGGGUAAGUUCCGACCUGCACGAAUGGCAUAAUGAUGGCGGCGCUGUCUCCAGCAGAGGCUCAGUGAAAUCGAAAUCGCUGUGAAGAUGCAGUGUACCCGCGGCUAGACGGAAAGACCCCGUGAACCUUUACUGCAGCUUGACAUUGAACUUUGACCUUACUUGUGUAGGAUAGGUGGGAGGCUUUGAAGUUGGAACGCUAGUUCCAAUGGAGCCGUCCUUGAAAUACCACCCUGGUAAUGUUGAGGUUCUAACUCUGCCCCGUAAUCCGGGGCGAGGACCAUGUCUGGUGGGUAGUUUGACUGGGGCGGUCUCCUCCUAAAGAGUAACGGAGGAGUACGAAGGUGCGCUCAGCGUGGUCGGAAAUCACGCGUAGAGUAUAAAGGCAAAAGCGCGCUUAACUGCGAGACCCACAAGUCGAGCAGGUACGAAAGUAGGUCUUAGUGAUCCGGUGGUUCUGUAUGGAAGGGCCAUCGCUCAACGGAUAAAAGGUACUCUGGGGAUAACAGGCUGAUACCGCCCAAGAGUUCAUAUCGACGGCGGUGUUUGGCACCUCGAUGUCGGCUCAUCUCAUCCUGGGGCUGAAGCAGGUCCCAAGGGUAUGGCUGUUCGCCAUUUAAAGAGGUACGCGAGCUGGGUUUAGAACGUCGUGAGACAGUUCGGUCCCUAUCUACCGUGGGCGCUGGAAAUUUGAGAGGAUCUGCUCCUAGUACGAGAGGACCAGAGUGGACGAACCUCUGGUGUACCGGUUGUGACGCCAGUCGCAUCGCCGGGUAGCUAUGUUCGGAAGGGAUAACCGCUGAAAGCAUCUAAGCGGGAAGCCUACCUCAAGAUAAGAUUUCCCUAGGACUUUAUGUCCUCUAAAGAGCCGUUCGAGACUAGGACGUUGAUAGGUUGGAUGUGGAAGCAUAGUGAUAUGUGAAGCUGACCAAUACUAAUUGCUCGUGAGGCUUGACUAU